CCUACGGGGGGCAGCAGUGGGGAAUAUUGGGCAAUGGGCGCAAGCCUGACCCAGCAACGCCGCGUGAAGGAAGAAGGCUUUCGGGUUGUAAACUUCUUUUCUCAGGGACGAAGCAAGUGACGGUCCCUGAGGAAUAAGCCACGGCUAACUACGUGCCAGCAGCCGCGGUAAUACGUAGGUGGCAAGCGUUAUCCGGAUUUACUGGGUGUAAAGGGCGUGUAGGCGGGGACGCAAGUCAGAUGUGAAAACCACGGGCUCAACCGGUGGCCUGCAUUUGAAACUGGGGGUCUUGAGUACUGGAGAGGCAGACGGAAUUCCUAGUGUAGCGGUGAAAUGCGUAGAUAUUAGGAGGAACACCAGUGGCGAAGGCGGUAUGCUGGACAGCAACUGACGCUGAGGCGCGAAGGCGUGGGGAGCAAACAGGAUUAGAUACCCGGGUAGUC
rnacentral:rRNA from 1 species